UAUUUACCCCUCUUCCCUAGUGGGACUGAACAACAUUAAAUGGCUUCUUCUGAUCAUCAUAAUGCCCGAUAGUGAUUAAGUGGCAGAGCGACACUUGGCUUCGGAUGUGAGGUUCAUUAUUUGAUCCCUCUCCAUCACCAAGCUGUACACCAUGGAUUAAAUGGUAAGGCGACACCUGGUUUUGGAUGUGAGGUAUAUUAGUU
rnacentral:lncRNA from 1 species